CCCUGCUUAGCUCAGUUUGGUACAGCGCUUCACUGGAAAUGGAGAGGUCCAGGGUUCGAUACCAGGAGCAGGCG
rnacentral:tRNA from 2 species